GAAAAGAAACCAACAGGGAUUGCCUCAGUAACGGCGAGUGAAGCGGCAAAAGCUCAAAUUUGAAAUCCCCCGGGAAUUGUAAUUUGAAGAGAUUUGGGUCCGGCCGGCGGGGGUUAAGUCCACUGGAAAGUGGCGCCACAGAGGGUGACAGCCCCGUGAACCCCUUCAACGCCCUCAUCCCAGAUCUCCAAGAGUCGAGUUGUUUGGGAAUGCAGCUCUAAGUGGGUGGUAAAUUCCAUCUAAAGCUAAAUACCGGCGAGAGACCGAUAGCGAACAAGUACAGUGAUGGAAAGAUGAAAAGCACUUUGAAAAGAGAGUGAAAAAGUACGUGAAAUUGUUGAAAGGGAAGGGCUUGCAAGCAGACACUUAACUGGGCCAGCAUCGGGGCGGCGGGGAGCAAAACCACCGGGGAAUGUACCUUUCGAGGAUUAUAACCCCGGUCCUUACUCCCAUACUGCCCCGAGGCCUGCAAUCUAAGGAUGCUGGCGUAAUGGUUGCA
rnacentral:rRNA from 1 species